GCCGCCUUAGCUCAGCUGGUAGAGCGACGCUUUCGUAAAGCGUAGGUCGCGGGUUCGAGUCCCGCAGGCGGCU
rnacentral:tRNA from 2 species